AAGGGUAUAGCUCAGUGGUAGAGUACUUGCUUAGCAUAAAUGAGGUCCUGGGUUCAAUCCCCAGUGCCUCUG
rnacentral:tRNA from 1 species